GAGGGUAUAGCUCAGUGGUAGAGCACAUGCUUAGCAUGCAUGAAAUCCUGGGUUUAAUCCCCAGUACAUCCA
rnacentral:tRNA from 1 species